rnacentral:lncRNA from 1 species
AUGCUACCAGCUAGGGUGUCACCCAGCCCGGGAGGCGACUCGUGCUCCCUAGCCAGGACGGCAGUCGGCCCGCCCCCUCCCGCCUGCUGGCCCGGAGGCGCCCCCCGCCCAGCUGCCCCGCACCCUCCUGCCCCGCGGGGUUCCCUCGGUCCAGGUUCCCUUCCCAGUUCACUUCCCUCCCCUCCCCCACACAACCGUCCCCGGCGUCCCGCCGCGCCCCAUCCUCUGCCGCGUCCGCCCGGCUCCCGGGACUCCCCCGGCCCCGGGCGCUUGCUGACCCUCACCUGCCAUGUCCCGGACCACACCGCCGAGGCAGCCCUCCUCCCCCUCGAAUGAGGCUGAUCCUGCUUUCCCUGGAGAGCGUGAAAUGACCUCGUCUUAAGAAGUUACAUUGCAAGGAGAUGCUGAUUCCUCUGAGAGACCACUCUGCCACCUUUCAUUUGUCUCCAGAUCCAUGAGGAGAGUCCGAUUCCAAAAUGCCCCAGGAAACGAGCACAUAUUCUGACCAUAGAUGUGACUUAUACACAAAAGAGAGGAAAAAAGAAAAGGAGGGAGGGAGGGAAGAAAGUAAGCCUUACCUAAUAGAUUAACUGAAAUCUAGGAAAUAUAGGUGUAACUGGAUUCUGAUGGUGCUAAGUCAGGGAGGAAGGAAGAUAAGAUUAGAUUUGGCUGAAUUUAUCCUUAUAAGUGCACUUUACAGAGAUUUUGGGGUUUUAAUGUUCUAGCUCAAACAAUGGAGAAUGGUUCUAACAGCACAGUUGGUUGAUUGAAACCUGGACCCAACAGUGGUCUUCAUUAAAUGAAGCUGAGAUGCCAGAAACCACUUAGAAUAAUAUGUAGGAAGGAACCCAGACAUUUGGGCUCGGUGCCUGGGACGGGCAGGAGCCAGGGAUACAUGUGUGGACUGAAUGAGUGAAGGAUUAUGACUUGCCUGGUUUCUCAAUGGGGCUAUUGCUCCAGUAUAUUACCAACCAGCUCCCUCAGCCCCCACCUUCUCGCUCCGGUGUCCCCUUCCUCUUCAUUGUCAGUGACGCACAGGGCCCCUCACCAUCUCUGGAGUCUCCAGCCUGAACCUCCUCCACCUCCUACCCCAAUGUCCUCGCAAGCUCAGUUAUUAUUCAUGCGUGAGUUACCCGCAUUUUCCCAAUAAGGAGAAUUUUUUAAGUGGUUGGCCAACUUGUAGACAUAAGCUUAAAGAGCAGCAGAUAAACAGACAAAUGUCUUUAUACAAUUUAGCUUAUCAUUUUGAUUACACACAUCUUGAAAGUCAUGAAUUAUUUAAUAUAGUAUAUUAAUUUAUAAACGCUGCCCUUUUUUCUCUGCUCACGUGUCAUGAAAUGAUUUUCUUAAUUCUUCAUGGGGACCUUUGACAUGCACUUUUUAAUUCCUCUCCAUUUUUAAAAUAUUGUAAAGUACAGGAAAGUCAGAUAAAAUAAUAAAAUAUUUUCUGUAUGUCCA